rnacentral:lncRNA from 1 species
CUUUUGCUAUUUUUGCCUUCCCCAGGAGAUGACUUAACUUCUGGGAUUUUUCCCUCAGCUCUCACUUGUGACUUUGACCCAGCUGGGAGAGACCCUUAGGGAAGCACUUUCUGAUGGGCAAUUGAAGUUUAGUUGAGACAAACCAGGGAAGUUAGCCAAGGCUGCUGCUGUCUCUUCUGGUUCCCAGCACCAUGGGCUCAGAUUUCACAACAAGAUGUUGAUACUGUGAAGAAGCUAAGUGUGGAGCAAUGACAAGGAGCUCUAUAUCCCAAGCUGUGGAAUACCUUGCCCCCAUUCCCUUACCCUGGAGAAGAAGAAGGUUCCUGUAUGUGUGAAAGUAUCCACUAGAGGAAGAACAAGACAAAAAGUCUUUAUCUCCCUUUUGCAACCUGAAGUGGAGUUGGCAUCAUUCAUUUUCUCUCUUGAAGCUAGAAGCCAAAAACAUCUGAAGAAACUGGAGUCAAAAAAGAUUGAAUCCUUUUUUUACCCUCUCUUCUCCAUCUCCUCAUGCAUCAUUUGUGGUCAUUGA